rnacentral:rRNA from 1 species
UACGUAGGGGGCGAGCGUUGUCCGGAGUUACUGGGCGUAAAGGGCAUGCAGGCGGUCCGACACGUUUUGUGUGACAGCGGGUGGCUUAACUACCCGAGGAUACGAAAGACGGUUGGACUUGAGGACUCGAGAGGGACACGGAAUUCCGGGUGGAGUGGUGAAAUGCGUAGAGAUCGGGAGGAAUACCAGCAGCGAAGGCGGCAAACUGGAUAGGAACUGACGCUGAGACGCGAAAGCGUGGGGAGCAAACAGG